rnacentral:lncRNA from 1 species
GACAAAACAAGAUAAGCAGAAGACAACACUGCCUAAAUGGUAAGGCCACUUCUAUAUAAUUAAAGUGAUUGCCCUUGAAUGAUGACUAUCAUAAAAAAAUAAGAAGAUUCGGUAUGGUAAAUUCAGUGAUCUUUCCACCAGAGUUCAAUGAAGUGGUCCUGAUGCAAGUGAUUAAAGGCCAAUGGUGGGCUUCGAUCAUGAGAAAACUGAUUGUCCCCCCUUGUGUGGGAAACAUUUGGUUGAUUAUAUAGGGAAUCACUGAAGCAUGACUGGAGAGGCCCCCUUUCCCUUAUGAAAAGUUCUGGAUCCGCCAGUGCCAAACUUUAUGAGUCGGCCGUUAAAGACCCAAACAUGAAAAGAUUUAAGCAAUCCAAAUUAAUUCAAAACUAAUAACAAUUAAUAAAAAAAAUGUCUGUGAGCACUCAACCUUACCAUAAUCUUAUUGUAGGACAGUGGUUCAAAUAGCACAACAUAUGAACAAAUAAAAACUGUUGCAAGUUGCUCAACUAAAAAUAUCACUGCAAGGCACUAAAACAACUAAUAUUAAGUCGUGGACACAAGGCACUGAAAUAAGAAAACUCAUAAGUAAGAAUAUCCAAUAAAAGUUUAUUCAAACGUUCAUAUAUAACAUGAAAGAAUAAGCUUAUUUUAUAUUGCUGUUAUUUCUCCAUUUAUAAAUUUAUUUUUUUCAUUUUUUGUAUUUAUAGGUCAGACAUCUGGGUUUUCAUGUUCAUCAACAGGUCAAUACUGAAGAGGAAACUUAAAGUUAAUACUUUUCAACAUUGUGUGCUAAUUGGAUUAAUGUGAAAUGAAAUGUGUGCUUUCCAGGAAAAAAAAAUAGAAAAUUUCAACAAAAUGGCUAUAAAAAAAAAUGGAGUACUAUCAUAGAUGCAUAAGAACACAAUUGUGUAAAUGCAACAACCUACAUAUUCACUGAAGGAUUAGUAAGAAAUGUAGAAAAAAAAUUGUUGUCGAAAUAAACAACUGCUUUAUCUGUUUGUGUACAUGGCUCCG